rnacentral:misc_RNA from 1 species
UUCUUGAUUCAGUUUCUGGGGUGAGUUUUAUAUCGCUUGCGUAAGGUUUAUUGAGGAAAAUAGUAGGAUAUUUUGAAAUCUCGAUUCAUUUGAUUCUUUCAGCUCUCAGUUAAUUACAUUUAUAUGCGUUUUCAAUUUUUUGUAAAUCAAGCACGAUUUUAUUUUCAAUUAUUCCACUACUUCGUUGGUUGUGAAUUUUGAUCAUUGGAUUGGUUUGCCCAAUGGUUAUCCAGAUUGGUUUUGGUUUGAAGAUUUGAUUGAUUUUUUGAAUCCACUAAGGCACUAAUUGUGAUGGAGCUCGAUGGGUUUGAGACUUUGUGUUUGUGGGAUUUUGUUGCACUGGUUCUUCUUUAGCUUCAAUUAGUACUAUUGGGAUUCAGUAGCUUGGCUUCAUUACUUUACUGGUUCACAAGUAGCUUCCUGUACAUGUUAUAUAUAUGUAUAAUCCAAGGCAUACCCUAUAUCAUUGGGGGUUUUAUUAUUGGUAUCAGAACCUUUAGCCAUUCUUCCUCUCAUCUGGUCAAUUUUUCUCCUUAACUGUUUGUCUGUUUACUUCGUCCCCCCAUGGCCUCAACUCUGCAGCUAUAUAUGAUUCAGUGUGGCUACUGUGGAUAGUUUGGUGGCUUAUUCUGAUGCGGACUGGGCUGGUUGUCCUAACACACGUCGUUUGACGUCUGGCUAUUGUGUAUUUCUUUGCCAAACUUUUGUCUCUUGCUUUAGUGCUGAGGCUGAAUAUAAAGGUGCUGCUAAUGUUGUACCUGAGUGCUCCUAAAUCCGCAAUCUUCUUCAAAAACUCAAGAUUUUUCUUCCUAAAGCAACUUUUUUUUUUUUUUUUUU